AAUGUUUGAUGUUCUAACGUGGACCCGUAAUCCGGGUUGCGGACAGUGUCUGGUGGGUAGUUUGACUGGGGCGGUCUCCUCCUAAAGAGUAACGGAGGAGCACGAAGGUUGGCUAAUCCUGGUCGGACAUCAGGAGGUUAGUGCAAUGGCAUAAGCCAGCUUGACUGCGAGCGUGACGGCGCGAGCAGGUGCGAAAGCAGGUCAUAGUGAUCCGGUGGUUCUGAAUGGAAGGGCCAUCGCUCAACGGAUAAAAGGUACUCCGGGGAUAACAGGCUGAUACCGCCCAAGAGUUCAUAUCGACGGCGGUGUUUGGCACCUCGAUGUCGGCUCAUCACAUCCUGGGGCUGAAGUAGGUCCCAAGGGUAUGGCUGUUCGCCAUUUAAAGUGGUACGCGAGCUGGGUUUAGAACGUCGUGAGACAGUUCGGUCCCUAUCUGCCGUGGGCGCUGGAGAACUGAGGGGGGCUGCUCCUAGUACGAGAGGACCGGAGUGGACGCAUCACUGGUGUUCGGGUUGUCAUGCCAAUGGCACUGCCCGGUAGCUAAAUGCGGAAGAGAUAAGUGCUGAAAGCAUCUAAGCACGAAACUUGCCCCGA
rnacentral:rRNA from 1 species